rnacentral:sRNA from 1 species
GAUACCAGGGUCAAAAGGUCAAAAAGCUGUUCGUGCUUGCACGAUAAAGCUUUUGAACUUGGGACCCGCCAAAUAUGAGGAAGUAGCGAUUUACGCAGUAAAUCAGCGGAUUCCGAAUAUUUGAAGGAUUGCGGGAGCAGCACAGCUGCGGAGCAAUCCGUGAUAUC